CCUACGGGAGGCAGCAGUGAGGAAUAUUGGUCAAUGGGCGGAAGCCUGAACCCGCCAAGUAGCGUGCGGGAUGAAGGCCCUACGGGUCGUAAACCGCUUUUGCACGGGGAUAACACCCUCCACUUGUGGAGGUCUGCAGGUACCGUGCGAAUAAGGGCCGGCUAAUUCCGUGCCAGCAGCCGCGGUAAUACGGAAGGCCCGAGCGUUGUCCGGAUUCCUUGGGCUUAAAGGGAGCGUAGGGGGGCGUUCAAGUCAGCGGUAAAAUCGCGCGGCUCAACCGCGCCCCGCGGUUGAGACUGGACGCUUUGAGUUCACAACAGGCAUGCGGAAUUCGUGGUGUAGCGGUGAAAUGCAUAGAUAUCACGAGGAACCCCGAUUGCGAAGGCAGCCUGCCGGGGUGCGACUGACGCUGAGGCUCGAAGGUGCGGGUAUCAAACAGGAUUAGAUACCCGAGUAGUC
rnacentral:rRNA from 1 species